rnacentral:misc_RNA from 1 species
AUGAUGUAUUUGCAGGUGGGCAGUUCCUCUUACCAGGAGUCUCUCAAAGUUCUCGAGGCUGAUAUACAGCAUGCUAAUGCAUUGGCUGCUGCAAUUCCAAGAGGCAAGAGUGGUGCACGUCUUCAGAUGAAAUUAGUUUGCAAUCAAUGGACUCCCUUCUUUCUCUUUUUGCUACAACGGAUAGAUUGUUCUUGCAUAUGUCUACUCCCUAGAUAUCUAAAUCUCUUUCACAUACUUGUAUAUAAGGUAUAUGCAGAUGGUAGACCAAACCUAUUUACACAUGGAAGGAAAGCAACAAUUAAGGAAUUCUAUGGUGUUAUAUUACCAUCUCUUCAACGGCUUCAUAGUAAUCUGGAGGAGUUAGAGGAUGUUAAGGAAGGGCAUUUGGGAAUGGAGAGUUUGGGGAAAAAGAGAGUGGAAAGAGAUAUUAGGCUUGCCAAUGUUGAUAUAGAGAGAGAAGAUGAAUGUGGAAUUUGCUUGGAGCCUUGCACAAAAAUGGUCCUGCCUAAUUGUUGCCAUGCAAUGUGC